AAUUUUACUAAUACUUUUUUCCAAGAUACUUUUUCUAUUUUUUUUUUUCUUCAGGUUUUGAAACAACCUCAACCUGUCUAUCCUGGAGCUUUCUUUAUUUGAUACACUAUCCAGAAAUUCAAGCCAGAAUUAAAGAGGAAAUUGAAACUCAUUGGAAUGACAUCACCCAGAUCUGAAGACAGGUAAAUAUUACCCUACACAGAAGACUUAAUAAAUGAAGUAUUCAGACUUGCUUCCUUUCUUCCUUUUACUCUUCCUCAUUGGUAAGGAUAUACUUUUCCUUUGAGACAGCAACUGAUG
rnacentral:lncRNA from 1 species